GAUGAACGCUAGCGGCAGGCUUAACACAUGCAAGUCGAGGGGUAUUGGUUUUCGGACCAAGAGACCGGCGCACGGGUGCGUAACGCGUAUGCAAUCUACCUUUUGCAGAGGGAUAGCCCCAGAGAAAUUUGGAUUAAUACCUCAUAGUAUAGUACUUUGGCAUCAAGGAACUAUUAAAGUCACAACGGCAAAAGAUGAGCAUGCGUCCCAUUAGCUAGUUGGUAAGGUAACGGCUUACCAAGGCUACGAUGGGUAGGGGUCCUGAGAGGGAGAUCCCCCACACUGGUACUGAGACACGGACCAGACUCCUACGGGAGGCAGCAGUGAGGAAUAUUGGACAAUGGGCGCAAGCCUGAUCCAGCCAUGCCGCGUGCAGGAUGACGGUCCUAUGGAUUGUAAACUGCUUUUAUACAGGAAGAAACACUCCGACGUGUCGGAGCUUGACGGUACUGUAAGAAUAAGGAUGGCUAAUCCGUGCCAGCAG
rnacentral:rRNA from 1 species